UACGUAGGCAGCGAGCGUUGUUCGGAGUUACUGGGCGUAAAGGGUGUGUAGGCGGUUGUUUAAGUUUGGUGUGAAAUCUCCCGGCUCAACUGGGAGGGUGCGCCGAAUACUGAAUGACUUGGAGUGCGGGAGAGGAGAGUGGAAUUCCUGGUGUAGCGGUGAAAUACGUAGAUAUUAGGUGGAAUACCGGUGGCGAAGGCGGCCAAUUGGCCCAACACUGACGCUGAGAUACGAAAGCGUGGGGAUCAAACAGG
rnacentral:rRNA from 1 species